UACACAUUCAAAAACACAAUCAGG
rnacentral:siRNA from 1 species